rnacentral:rRNA from 1 species
AGUGAACGCUGGCGGCAGGCCUAACACAUGCAAGUCGAACGGAAGCACAGUAAGAGCUUGCCCUUACGGGUGGCGAGUGGCGGACGGGUGAGGAAUACAUCGGAAUCUACUUUUUCGUGGGGGAUAACGUAGGGAAACUUACGCUACUACCGCAUACGACCUACGGGUGAAAGCAGGGGAUCUUCGGACCUUGCGUGAUUGAAUGAGCCGAUGGCGGAUUAGCUAGUUGGCGGGGUAAAGGCCCACCAAGGCGACGAUGCGUAGCUGGUCUGAGAGGAUGAUCAGCCACACUGGAACUGAGACACGGUCCAGACUCCUACGGGAGGCAGCAGUGGGGAAUAUUGGGCAAUGGGCGCAAGCCUGAUCCAGCCAUACCGCGUGAGUGAAGAAGGCCUUCGGGUUGUAAAGCCCUUUUGUUGGGGAAGAAAAGCAGCAUGUUAAUACCCCGCUGUUCUGACGGUACCCAAAGAAUAAGCACCGGCUAACUUCGUG